rnacentral:lncRNA from 1 species
GUGGAAGACAUUGCCACAUGUAGACAGAGCUACAGUCAACAUUCCCAGGGAAGAAAUUGAAUAGAUGUGCUAUGAUGCCAACCCAUCGACCGUCAGCUGUUUUGAGUAUCAGAAACAGGAACAGGAGUUGACUUUAGCAGCAAAAGCACAGAGGGGGAUCUCAGAGUGGCCCCCUAAUUACCUUGGAGAGGAACAUAACGACCCCCAGAAAGAAAAAUUCUGCAUUGGUGCCCAUCAUGAAUGACAGAAGAAAGAGAGAACGUGCUGCCUUGAAGUUCAUCACACCGGAUGCUCCACAUACCUAAACCCCCUCCUUCCCUUCCCAUUUCCCCUGUAGAACUGCCUCAAGAUUCUAUAUGACUGUAAGAUGGUUCUACAGGACACUAAUCUGCCAUCUUCCAAUUAUGCUGGCUAAUCAUAUAAAUUUUCCUUUCUCAACUACUGGCUUGUUUGCAAUUGAUUGGCACCAGAUUGCGGCAAGCAGAAUGAGCCCCUUUUUGCUCAGUUACAUAAUUAAGUAUUUUGAACUCAUCUUGAGUAUUUCUGUCUUGAUGACGUCAAGUUUCAAUCAAUCCAACAAAUAUGUACAGUCUCAAAAUACAUGGCAAUGUACAUUGAAUCCUCUGCAAGUGUGGACGGUAUAAUCAUCGCCUGCGUGGAUGACACUCAGCUGGGGAAGAUGGAGACACUUGCAGACAGGUUCCCGGAGCUGCUUUCUCAUCACCUUGAGUUCCGAGUUAGGGAACUUUUGGCUCGUAAGUGGCUCAAGGUCAUCUGAGGACAAGGUUUCCAUCUUCUGCACAGGCUCCAGCUACAUGAUUUGCAGUCUUUGCUCAUUGUCCGU